rnacentral:rRNA from 1 species
GACGAACGCUGGCGGCGUGCUUAACACAUGCAAGUCGAACGGAAAGGCCCUGCUUUUGUGGGGUGCUCGAGUGGCGAACGGGUGAGUAACACGUGAGUAACCUGCCCUUGACUUUGGGAUAACUUCAGGAAACUGGGGCUAAUACCGGAUAGGAGCUCCUGCUGCAUGGUGGGGGUUGGAAAGUUUCGGCGGUUGGGGAUGGACUCGCGGCUUAUCAGCUUGUUGGUGGGGUAGUUGCUUACCAAGGCUUUGACGGGUAGCCGGCCUGGGAGGGUGACCGGCCACAUUGGGACUGAGAUACGGCCCAGACGCCUACGGGAGGCAGAAGUGGGGAAUAUUGCACAGUGGGCGGAAGCCUGAUGCAGCAACGCCGCGUGCGGGAUGACGGCCUUCGGGUGGUAAACCGCUUUCGCCUGUGACGAAGCGUGAGUGACGGUAAUGGGUAAAGAAGCACCGGCUAACUACGUG